CAAAUGCGAUACGCAAUGCGAAUUGCAGAAUUCCGCGAGUCAUCAGAUCUUUGAACGCAAGUGGCGCUGGGUUAACCAAUACCCCAGCAUGUUUGUUUCAGUGUGUUAGGAAUCAUAAAUCUUAAUGCGGUUGAGUAUAUUUUAAUAUAUAUUCUCCCGUUAAACACGAAAAGCGCUGAAUCGUUUCAGUGCCGACCGAAGUAGUCACUUCUUUUUAAGCAAGUGAUCUCGGUUGUGCUAUAACUGAAGAUUCAAAUUAAAGCGUCUUUUUCUAUAUUUUUAAUUUUCUCCACUCAACACCUGAAAUCAAGCAAGAUCACCCGCUGAACUUAA
rnacentral:misc_RNA from 1 species